UGUUGAUGUAAAUUGCAGUAACAAAUUUUAAGGUUCAAACAAGGCCACACACAAGAAGUCAUGCCAGACACAAGAUGUAAAUUGCAGGAUGAAAGGAAAAUAUUCUGCCACCUAUUUGUUACUCGUCACAUGCCAUUGUUCACUUGAACUGAUUCAUGUAAAGGCAGGAGUGAGGAGUAUGUCAGCUUGGGCAUGUGCUUAUGUUCUGUUGAAGUUAGGUGUAACGGCGGUCAUCAGGCUGGUAUUGGCGCGGGGAGCGAGGGUAUGUUGUGGCUAACUGUCUAUGGUGUGCGUAGAGGAGGAGCUACCAAGAUCUGUAUAAGUCAAGCAAUCUUUAUGUUGCACACAAUCUAUUACCCUUUAAAAGAGGGAGUUCAUGAAAAACUUUACCCUCUCCAAAAUAGCCUUCCACCAAAUUUAAUUACCAACAUAUCUUGAAUUCAUAAACCACUCUCCCCUUUCAUCGGUUACGCCUAUAUUCCUCCUCCUUUCAAUUCAUUGAUUACGAACCCUCCUCCGAUCUUCCGUUACCUACAGCAAGUUUUAAAGAUGAAAUCAAUGCAGCAGUUCAUCCGUUACCCUUCUUCUCCGCCAAUCUUCUCUGUUCUUCUGUUACGCCGUCCCACGAUCUUAAGCCAUUAAUCUCCAAAGAUGAUUGUCAUUGCCCUAAUCAUCAACGCUGCGCCUCCGCCAUCAUCUCCUCAGUUGUCAGAAUUUUGGCAUCGGUCAAGGAUUGUCCGAAUUAGGGCUUGCUUCAAGUCUUCAUCUUGCUCCUUUGUCAAAUUCAUCAGACAAAUAUUGACGGGGAACAAGUGAAGGCUGCCAUAAGAGCCCAGCAAGACCAGCAGAUUGACAAUGAGUGGAAUGCUCCAAAACCAAGACAUCUCUCUCUCCUGAAGGGUGCUUUACAACGUGGGAUUGUGAG